CAGCAAACCUUGCCGUCUGACCUUGGGGCCCUGGGGAAGCAGGUUGGGGGUGGGGAGAGCAAGAGGACUCUGGCUUGGGAGAGGCUGCAGCACCAGGAACAGGCUGAAGGAAGGCUCUUGGACUCUGGCACCAGGGCCCACCCCACCCCUUACUGUUGGCAGCAACCCUCAAAGCCAAGCCGUGUCCUCAGCCAUCACAUCUUGGUUGAUUGUCGUGACCUUAAAACUAGCUUGAUGGCACUUGUGAACCAAUCCCUGGAUGACUUCGUCUGCCACAGGGCAUGCUGGAGUGGGGAUCCUGGGCGACCUAGGAUAUCUUUUAAAGGUCAUCUUGGAGUUUGGAACAGAAACAAGACAGUAGGCAGCAUCUGGUUCUGAAAGUCUCAACACCGAGCAAGCUGAAGGUGACACACACCCAGAAUCCGCAGGCACAGUGAGGCCUCCCCUAGAGGGUGUGCACACUGCUAGGACAAUGGGGUUCCUCUGAGGAUUUCGGCGCGGUUACAGUACCUGCUGCAUGCAGGGCAGACUCGGGGAGAUUAAAUAACCCACAAGACCUCG